rnacentral:rRNA from 1 species
CCUACGGGUGGCUGCAGUGGGGAAUAUUGGACAAUGGGCGGAAGCCUGAUCCAGCAAUACCGCGUGUGUGAAGAAGGCCUGAGGGUUGUAAAGCACUUUCAAUAGGAAGGAAUACCUAUCCAUUAAUACUGGGUAGACUGACAUUACCUAUACAAGAAGCACCGGCUAACUCCGUGCCAGCAGCCGCGGUCAUACGGAGGGGGCAGGCGUUAGUCGGAAUUACUGGGCGUAAAGCGUGCAUGUGCGACGUGAAAGCCCCGGGCUUAACCUGGGAAUGGCAUUUGAUACUGGCGAGCUAGAGUUGAGUAGAGGGGAGUGGAAUUUCAGGUGUAGCGGUGAAAUGCGUAGAGAUCUGAAGGAACACCAGUGGCGAAGGCGACUCCCUGGACUCAAACUGACGCUGAGGUACGAAAGCGUGGGUAGCAAACAGGAUUAGAUACCCUUGUAGUC